GAUGAACGCUGGCGGCGUGCUUAACACAUGCAAGUCGAACGGAAAGGCUCCUGCUUGCAUGGGUACUCGAGUGGCGAACGGGUGAGUAACACGUGGGUGAUCUGCCCUGCACUUCGGGAUAAGCCUGGGAAACUGGGCCUAAUACCGGAUAGGACGAUGGUUUGGAUGCCAUUGUGGAAAGUUUUUCGGUGUGGGAUGGACUCGCGGCCUAUCAGCUUGUUGGUGGGGUAAUGGCCUACCAAGGCGUCGACGGGUAACCGGCCUGAGAGGGUGUACGGCCACAUUGCGACUGAGAUACGGCCGAGACACCUACCGGAGGCAGCAGUGGGGAAUAUUGCACAAUGAGCGAAAGCCUGAUGCAGCGACGCAGCGUGGGGGAUGACGGCCUUCGGGUUGUAAACUCCUUUCGCUAGAGACGAAGCGCAAGUGACGGUCCCUGGAGAAGAAGCACCGGCUACCUACGUG
rnacentral:rRNA from 1 species